rnacentral:rRNA from 1 species
UACCAGCACCCCGAGUGGUCGGGACGUUUAUUGGGCCUAAAGCAUCCGUAGCCGGUUCUACAAGUCUUCCGUUAAAUCCAACUGCUUAACAGGUGGGCUGCGGAAGAUACUAUAGAGCUAGGAGGCGGGAGAGGCAAGCGGUACUCGAUGGGUAGGGGUAAAAUCCGUUGAUCCAUUGAAGACCACCAGUGGCGAAGGCGUCUUGCCAGAACGCGCUCGACGGUGAGGGAUGAAAGCUGGGGGAGCAAACCGG